GAUGAACGCUGGCGGCGUGCUUAACACAUGCAAGUCAAGGGGGCCCAGCAAUGGGCAACCGGCGAACGGGUGCGUAACACGUGAGCAACCUACCGAAUUGUGGGGAUGAGCCGGCCCAACGGCCGGGUAAUACCGCAUACGCUCGAGACGAGGCAUUUCGACUCGAGGAAAUCUACGGAGCAAUUCGAGGGGCUCGCGGCCUAUCAGCUAGUUGGUGAGGUAACGGCUCACCAAGGCGACGACGGGUAGCUGGUCUGAGAGGAUGGCCAGCCACAUUGGGACUGAGAUACGGCCCAGACUCCUACGGGAGGCAGCAGUGGGAAUCUUGCGCAAUGGCCUAACGGCUGACGCAGCGACGCCGCGUGAGGGAUGACGCUCUUCGGAGUGUAAACCUC
rnacentral:rRNA from 1 species